CUAUGAGCUUAUGAACUUGAUACAAGGCUGGCAUAAUGGAAUAAUGGUAAUCUCUGUGGAAUAUAAAGGAGAGGCAAGUCAAAGGUGAGGAUAACUGGUGGAAACCCCACAUGCCUCUGUGAUGUUUGAAGAGAAAUAGAGAAAGAACCUUAGCAUCUUGGCUGGAUUGGCUGUCUUGAAUUUCUAGAAGAAUCUGGGUAAAAGUUGCACAGGAUGGGCAGGAUGAUUUCAGAAAGGCCUGGAGAGACUUAGACGAACUGAUGCUGAGUGAAAUGAGCAGGACCAGGAGAUCAUUAUAUACUUCAACAACAAUACUAUAUGAUGACCAAUUCUGAUGGACUUGGCCAUCCUCAGCAAUGAGAUCAACCAAAUCAUUUCCAACGGAGCAGUAAUGAACUGAACCAGCUACGCCCAGAGAAAGAACUCUGGGUGAUGACUAAAAACCAUUACAUUGAAUUCCCAAUCCCUAUAUUUAUGCCCACCUGCAUUUUUUGGUUUCCUUCACAAGCUAAUUGUAC
rnacentral:lncRNA from 1 species